UAUGGCCAUAUCAUAUUGAUACACCGGUUCUCGUACGAUCACCAAAGUUAAGCAACGUUGAGCCUGAUCAGUACUUAGAUGGGUAAUGACUUGCGAAUACCAGAUGCUGUAAG